rnacentral:rRNA from 1 species
GUGCCAGCCGCCGCGGUAAUACGGAGGUGGCAAGCGUUGUUCGGAAUUACUGGGCGUAAAGGGCGCGUAGGCGGCGAGGCAAGUCAGAUGUGAAAUCCCCGGGCUCAACUCGGGAAUUGCAUCUGAAACUGUUUUGCUUGAGUCCUGGAGGGGAUAGUGGAAUUCCCAGUGUAGCGGUGAAAUGCGUAGAUAUUGGGAGGAACACCUGCGGCGAAGGCGGCUAUCUGGACAGUGACUGACGCUGAUGCGCGAAAGCUAGGGGAGCGAACGGGAUUAGAUACCCUGGUAGUCC